AUGACUUUGAAUCCAAAUACUCGUUUCACCCCGUUGAAGACUUUCCAGCCCCAGAAGAAUAUAAAUACUUCCAGAGAAUCUACCCCAGCAAAACAAACAGAGCCACGCGUGGGGCCCCUCCUCUGCCCCCCAUCCCCAGGUGAAAGCGAGCAGUGCCGGCGGUCGGUCCUGAGCACAGCCACAGAGCUGCUCCCCCUUCUUCAGACGGACCCUCCCCACCUCCCUGCCCCCAGGAACCUGCAUGAGAAACUCCCGGCACCUUCAGCUCUCCCAGGACAAGCGGACACCCCCGGCCCACGCUCACCACAAACCCACACGGCUCCUUUCCCCGCAGCCCCACGUUGGACCCCGCGCUCCAUGCAGCGGGCAGGGCCGGGGGCAGGCAGUGACUGCUGGGGUCGGACACGGGCAAGAGCCGUGCCUGGGGGCCACGUGGGCUCAAAGCAGAGCGGGGCAGCAGCCGGGCUGUGGUGGCCGUGGGAUGGGGCCAGCAGAGCCCUCUGCCCCAGUGCUGCGAGCUGCGAUUCUGUACAGGAGCUGCUGGGAGCGGGGCUGUGCCCCCACGUUGGGUCCGGGCAGGGCGUGCAGCCCCGUGGUAACACCGGGACACCAAAAGAAGCGUCAGCUGGUGGACGUGGGCUGUCUGCAGGGGGUCUGCGGCCACGGGGGCUCUGCGGGCUGUUACAUGGCGGGGGCUGGGGCUGCGCGCCGUUUUGCCUUACACGGACUGCUGGCUCCGGGCUCCCGUUAACCGUAAUUACUGAUCUAUUUUGUACGUUCUGAAGCUGUACUGUAGGAGGAGGGGCUGCGGCGGGGUACUAAACCCUCACCUUUAACCGUUGUUCGUUCGUUCGUUUGUUUUCUACGACGCUGGAACCUUCCCCAGGUGGGAGCGAGGCCCUGCACGAGGGGGGGGCACCGUUUGGUUUAAAUAACGGCAGAAAAAGCCCUCGAGCGCUCGGCUCAGCCCCGGGGGGGGGAACGGCGGGGGGAGGGGCUGAGAAAGGGAGAGGGGAAAAGCCGUGAGCUUGGAACUGCGUUUAAAUAAAAGUAAUAAAGGUGCAGCGGUGUCGGUACUG
rnacentral:lncRNA from 1 species